UGGGAUUCGUUGUUACAUUCUUGUUCGUGUAUACAGCAUAACAAUGAAAUUUGGUCAGUUUUGUUCCCCAGUGUCUCCCUUUCCCUUUCCUCCUCCCUCCCACUGGUUGUCUUCCUCUAAUCUGCUGGUCUCCUUUUUAUUUUCAUGGGAUUUCCUCUUUACCUUUUCCUUUUUUUUUUUUUUUUUCAUCUCUAACAUCUGACCCUGAUUUUUAUUUAUUGUGGUGCUAGGGACUGAACCCAGGGGUGCUUUACCACUGGGCAACAUCCCCAGCCCUUUUUAUUUUUAUUUUUUUUUAAAUAAUUAUUUUUUAGUUGUAGUUGUCAGUACCUUUAUUUUUUUUAUGUGAUGCUGAGAAUCGAACCCAGGGCCUCGCACGUGCUAGGCAAGCGCUCUACCACUGAGCCACAACCCCAGCCCCCUUUUUUGUUUUUUGAGACAGGGUCUCACUAAGUUGCUGAGGCUGUCCUGGAACUUGUGAUCCCCCUGCCUCUCCUUUCCAGAUCACUAGGAUUACAGAUGUGUACCACUGCACCAGGCCACUGAAACUACUACUAAUAUAGUAUUCGCAUUGUAUUAUAAGCAACAGAGAUAAUUUGAGGUAUGUGGGAAUGUGUAUGUAGGUUAUAUUGCAAAUACUGCCUGAGCACAGGUGGAUUUUGGUAUUUGCAAGGGGGUCCUUAGUCUAACAAUCAAGAAGCUUGUAUUUUUCUUGAAUACUAAGGUGUGGUUAUUGGUGUGACAGGGGCAUCAGAGUUCCAUUUAAGAAGCUUUGAAAGUUAUUGGCAGUUUUAAUGUUCACAUCUAGUGCGUAGGAGACUGGACUUUGCUGAUAGCUGAAUUUCUGACGCUGUUUACAAAAGCAAUCGAGCCAUGCAGUCUUUAUAGUAUUCUUUCUCUUUAACAUAUGUUCUAUAAUUCUGCUUUUGAAAUUCUACGGAGAGGGCUGGGGCUAUAGCUCAGCAGUAAAGCGCCUCCCUCACGUGUGGGGCACUGGGUUAGAUCCUCAGCACCACACAAAAAAAAUAAAGAUAUUGUGUCCAUCUGCAACUAAAAAAAAAAUCCAUCUAGAGAGAGUUAAAAUGGGAAUGAUCAGAAGUUUGUGGCUUAUAAAAGGAAGACAUGAGCCAGGCAGUUGGAACCAGCCAAUACCCAGUUGGUCACUGAUUUGUCAGGAUUUCCUUAAUGGUGUUCUGUAGGAUUUGACCUCUAGGCUUUUACAACACCAUCAAAAAGAACUUACCCUGAUCAGCUUGUCCAAACUCAAAGGAGACUUAGGCCUUGUAUCCAGAUAACCCCUUAUGAGUUCACAGUGGGACUGCUUUAUGAUUGCAGCACAGAAGGAAUGACCUGGUACCUGGGCUCCUUCCCCCACCCCUCAACCCCCACAUGGGAAAUGAACAAGGAGUCACUUGGCUAGUGUGGAUAGAGCCAGAACAGGGGAGUUAUGGUUCUGAUUUUCAGUAGAUGAUUCAGAUGCUGCUGCUCUGGCAUGGUUUGAGGGCUCUGUGCCUGUUGCAGGACUGGGCUAGACCUAGAGCUUUUUGUUGAGAACAUCUCAUUGUGCUUUAUUCCGUUUCUGUUGUGCCCCUACCCCAGACCCUGUCUCUGACUUCCUUUCUUUGCUCUUGGGAAUAUAGUAGUAUGAGAUUUACUAGUAGAAUCUGGUUCCAGUCUAACAUUUCCUGUUUUCUGCUUGCCUUACAGUCUGUUUCUAGCCUUUAUGCAGGUCACACUGCUGUGCACAUGAUGGCUAUACAGUCAACAAAUGUACGUGAUGAAUAUGCAUAUGGUUAUGUCACGUUUCUCCUAGAGUGUGGGGAGGGCAUCAUUGUAAGUGACCAUGAUUGCUGUGUUGAAAAAAAUGAAAAUCUGUCAGAACAUAGAAAGCCCGAGAGCUCUCUGGUUGCCAUCUGGUAGUCCCAUUUCUUUCUCCUGCACUCUGCUACUGCCUCUGAGUCAUGCCACUUUCUUCUACUCUGGUUCCUGAGUCUCCUUCCUGGUCUACAUUCUGAUUUGUUCAAUCUUCCAUCUGCCCUCUCAGCACACAGGUGACACAGUCUCUCUAAAUGAAGAUCUUUAUUCAUUGUUGCUAGCAUAAAGCUUUAAAUGCCCUGACCUUAGGGUGUGUGGUUUAUGAGGGUUGUUAUGAUUUGAACACUGUCAGCCUUUGCUGUCUUCAGUUUUCCCGCACUCCAUCCUUCUGGGGCAUCCUUCCUCCCUCUAAUCAUCCCACCCACCUACUUAAUUCCUUGACUUGCUCCUCACCGAAGGCCUCAAAUGCCAUAUGGCCUCCUCUGGCCUUCCUGUUUGAUCUUUAGUACAAUUUGGUCUUGGAACAUGACCUCUUUGCUCUUGCUUUCAUCUGGCUUGCUACCCAGUGUUCAACAUCCUGUACUAAGCUCACUAGCUUUCUUUUAGACACCACCCCCACCCUGUGCAUCUUCCAAGGUGUUCAUUGCUUUUUUCCUCCUCGAAACUCAUACAGAGUAGGUUGUUGGUUGCUUAGUCUGCAGUGAUGGGUCAAAACUAGGGCCUUUGAGUGCCAGGUAAGUGCUCUACCACUGAGCUACAUCCCUAGCUCUACAAAUGCUGGGUUUUGUCUAAAUGGAUAUCCACGUUCUCCUACCUUUGUUUCUGGCUUUUUAAUUCUCUUUCAGGCUCUUCUUUCUCUACCUCCCUCCCUCCCUAGACAUUCACAUGUUCUGAAAUCUCUGACCCCAGUUCUACCAUUUGAGUUUUUCUGUCCAUCUUUGGACCAUUCCACCAGAAUUUCUCAUAUCCAGGAUUGCUAACAUUAAAGCUACCCUCAGCAACUCUUUCUUUUCUGCCUUCUCUCAUUUAGGUCUAUGGUGUCACUCUGUUGCAGAAUAACUAGCUAGAUACCCUGGCCUGAGUGUUUCUCUCCCACCCUCACAGCUUUAGGAAUUCUGGCAUUUAGCUUUCCUGAUCAUUCCCAGUUAGGAAUAGCUACUGCUCUACUCCAGAUCUUUUCUUAGCGAUAAGGGCACUAUCAGUUACCCAUUUUCAACCUCUUUAAUAAACAUGAGUGCUGGGAGCCAUUAGCCAAGUAGGUAUGACAAUUUCCUUGCCAGCGUACCCCAUGUUGCUGACAUGUUGCAGUGACAUUGAAUGUNGAACGUGGAUUUGGGC
rnacentral:lncRNA from 1 species